rnacentral:tRNA from 2 species
GGAGAGGUGCCAGAGCGGCCGAUUGGGGCGGUCUCGAAAACCGUUGUGGAGGCUUCCUCCACCGUGGGUUCGAAUCCCACCCUCUCCG